CUUUGGAAGACAUAAUAAAACCAUCUGUUGCCACAGAAGAUAGAUGUAGUAUACCUGAUUACGUUUUGCGCUUCGUUUAGCACCUUUUAUCAGUUUGUGCAUGACCAAUCGUUAUAUUUGUAGAUGCACCUGCAAGAGUGGGAAGGAGAGAAAUGGAUCUUCCGGCCCAAGUCUGAUUGUGUACGAUCCCAAGGGCGACAAGGUCUGUAAAGAGAGGGAGAAAAGCGAGCAGGUUCCACCUCCAGUGGCCAACGGGCGUGGCGGAGACGCAAUGCUCUUUCACAUCCUCUCACCCAUCGAGGAGAUGUCUUCUCCCGAGUGCUCAGACAGGGGGGAAUCGGGAAGCAAGCCAGGAAGCCCGGCGGUUGUUGGUGAUACUCUUCCUCCGGUUGCUGCUAAGAUUGUUCAAGAUGUUGCUUGUUGUCAUGGUGGUGAUGGCAGCAAGGAAUGCACUCCAGUGAAAGAGGAGGGUGAUGAUGAACUGGAUGCAGGUCGUCAUGGCAAUGAUGAGGGUGAACAAGAGGAGGAUGAGGAGAGUAUGAUAUCCCCAAGGGAGCUUGACUCUGGGAUUCAUCUUGCUUUUUCAAAUUCCAUGGAUGGAGACAUGAAUGGUCCGUGUCCUGAUGCCAUUGAAGCAGACAAGAUGCUGUCACAGAGACUCAAGAUGCAGAAUAUAGGAUGUUCAGAGUCCUUUGAAAGUGUUUCCAGUGCAUCAUUUAGUCUACUUAGCCUGGAUGCCAACGAUACCCUAGAUAGUCUAGAGACACACAUUCACUCCUCUCACAGUGACUUACAUUCACCACCACCAGACAUCCAUGAAGACUUUGAUUCAACAAACAGCACAUUGACGGGGAAGGUGGAGAAUGUAGAGGAUGAAUGGAAAUUGAGUGAAGCGGAAAGGACAAACUUGAGCCGAAGCUCCAGUGAAGACACCUUGAAGAGCGAUGAGGAUGAAGAAGGAUUAGGGCCAAGGGAACUCUCAAUGGAAGAGUUCUUGGAUCAGAUCCAAACUCGGACAACUUCCAUGACAGAAGAGGAAGAAUCAAAGUAUGAGGAUGAGGAGCAGGAUCCUUCGAUCAAGAGCUUCCAAGAUGGAGAAGAAGGAUGUGCUUCGAGAGAAGAAGAGUCAGAAAACAGAGAUCAUGUAUCAUUAAACCUUGAGUUUCAUCCGCGUUCAUUUUACAAACGUUCCCGAUCCAGUGAUGAUUUCCGUAACAUGAGAGAUGAGGAUCAUAAUGAUGAUCCAGGAAGCAACAGCGAUGGUGAGGACACAAAAGCAAAGUCAAAAGGCAAGCAUCACAGAAAUGGAAAAUUUAAUUCAAACCGUUUCAUCCGGUACGAUUCACUCCCUCUGGUUGUUGAAGUUUACGAAGCAGACAGCAAUAGUCCGUCCUUCUCACCAAGUGAUGUCACCAGGUCUCGCUUUGUCUAUGAUAGCCAAGACAGCGAGUCCCCAAACAGAGGUUCACCGAAGCGUCAAGUCUUCAGUCCAAGUAAAUCAGGGAAGCAUAAUCAACCAAAGAAAUCUAAAGAUGUUGGUCAGAGUCGACAGACAUCUGUUGAGUCAACAACAACAGAGAGCACUCUGCCCAAAAGCACACCUAUUUCCUCAGGUCCCACAACGCCUGACUUUGAGUGCAAGCGAAAGAACAGCCUGUCAACAGUAUCAUCAGAGUCGGAGGGCUCUCCUGAUACCCUCAAAAGAGAUAAAAUCCUAUUCACUCGCCAACUGCUCCAGCAGCAUAAGGAAUAUCAUCAGUCAGAAGGGAUAAGACCGAGCACGAGUCACAAGAUGCGAAGUCUUAGCCACAGUGACGCUGAUCCUAUACCCUACAGACCUAAAGGUGGAAUGGCCAGCAAUGGACAACUUCAGAAGCAAUUAUCUCUUCCAAAACAGGGCAGCUUGCAUGAUGAUGAAGAGGAAAUUCUUGCAGGAUACAGGAGACUAAAACAUCAUGACAGCACAUCUCAGGGCAUGUCUGCAUCUGGAGAGGAUGCAGAUCUUGAGCAAGAGGGAUGUGAGGAUGAGUACGAAGAGAGAGAUUACAGUUGUGGCGUCUCCAACAGUGAUGAGAUCACAGGUCUCUUGUCAGAACAAGAUGUCUGUGACAGUAGUGAUAAUGAGGAGGAGGAUUUUGAGGAUGCUAAUAGUACCUUGACAGAUGACAUCAAUGGCAAUGAUGACGGCAAUCAUAAUGAAGACAUUGCCAGUGUCCAGGAUACAGAUGGAGCAAGGAAGGUGUCUUCCAGACAAGAAGAAGAUUGUUUGUGUCCGGAUCAAGAACACCUAGAGGAGAGCAUAUCCGAAAGCUUCCCUGCAUGCUUUGAGGAUCAGUCUUCUUCCCCGAACCAAGACCCAAAAGACACAGAUGAUGCUCUUGCUGACACUAUCAAUGCAAGUUCUUUCCAAGAUGACAGUGCUGCACCUCAAGAAGAUCUAAACUGCAAGGAUCUUAGUAGCUCUUUACAGAAUGAAGAAGUAUAUAACAGCAAGAUAAAACCAGAAGAAAGAGAAGAGUCUGAAAUAGGUAGAGCUGAAGCUCAUGUAGUUAACGAUGAGGAGGAUGCUGUUGGAGAGAAAGAGGAGAUGACACCAAAGAUGCUAAAGAGGAAGGAAGAAGCCGACCUUGCAAACCUCACCUACAAGUUGUCCAUCAAGCAGGGUGAGGUCUUACAGUCAGCAGAAGAGGUGCUUUCAUCGGCAAAUCAGCUUUCCAACAUCCAAAAUGAAGUAGAUGCCCUUGAUUACAUCUUGACGUCACUGGAAAGGAAGGUUGCAAAGGGAGUUCUUUCUAGUCAGACUAGCAGUGAAUAUGAUGAAUCAGAAGGAGGUGAAUUGGCCGUAAGUCCACAGGAGCUUGUGAAGGAGGACCUCUGUGAUUUAGAAGUACGACUUUCUCAAACAGACGAUGACAAUCCCGACUCACAGAUCAACAUGGCGACAGCCGUGCGGAUGAUUACUGCUACUGCCCUGAAAGUUCUCAACACCACCGAAGCAGCGAUAGAACUGCAACAAGACGAUACCGUUAUCCACUCUCGGCUUAUUGAUGACAGCAUCCUUGAUCAGGAGGAAGAACUGGAUGAUGAGGGUGAUGAUGAGGAGGAGGAGGAGGACAUUGGCAGGAGAGAUGGAGAGACAGAGGAGGACAGGGAGAAACUUGAAGGAAAAAAUAUUGACUUGAAUCUUCUCUCGGAUCUUUGUGAUGAUCUUUUCUCGGAGAGCGAAUCCGUAGAGGACGGGUACCUGAACUCAUUAGCCGACGUUCUGAUCGAUAUCGACAACAAUGUCUUCCAGUGUGGACUUGAACCUUGUGGUGAUGUUGACGGUGAACUUAGCGUAGAGAAGGAUAAAAAUGCCAAUGCCGUGCACUUGUCACCCCAGAGAAGACUGUGUGAUGGUCGGUGUGGGAGUGAGUUCUGCAAGAUGUCUGCAAGUAUUGGGAAAACUGCGGGAAACGAAUCCCAGGCGUCCGAUAGCAAAAGACCUCAAGGAGACACCCAACAUAGAAGUGUGACCCAACUUCCUGGUGAGAAAGGUACUGUCAAAGACUUACGGGACAGAAAGGGAGUACCAAAGGACUCCCUCAAACUCUCUCUUCCGAGCGCCAAGCCCCAGGAGGUGGACAAGAGAAAACAGAUUAAUGACAAGAGCACCACGCCCAGUUCGGCGUCCUCCAAACCAAAGUCUCCAGAGGCCACCGUAUCUCCAGGAUCGCGCCACUCCUCCAGUCCGUCAUCGGGACCGAUCCUGCACCUCACCUCCGGACCAACAUCCCCACCAACGGCAACGUUGCUCUUCUCAUCCGAUGAGUUGGUCUGGGAUUCUGCAGUCCCGGUGAGCAGCUCAGACUCUGAGUCCACGGUCCCUACAGAGAUGGUCCCAAAUGAAGGCAAGAACCCAAGAGAUGCAGCCAGAGUAGAAACAUUAGAUUUCACCCCUAGUCCUUCAAAGAGACAUAAGUCAGAAGUGUCAGUCUUUGAGAGUUCCUUCACUCCUACCAAUGGAGAUGGUGACUUUAGCCCAGACUUCCUCUCUGCAUUUUAUGAUCGCGUCUCAGAACUUGAAGAAAGGGUCUACCUUUCAGCUGGGAAGGUCUUCACCCUUGAGGAGCGGCUGGAACAGCUGGAGAUGGAAGUCAACUCUGUAGACUGUACCCUUCCUGAUGAUAUUAUGGCUAUCCUAGAAGACAAGGUGGCCAUGACCGUUGCUCAGGUCCAGCAGUGCGAGCGAGAGGUACACACCGUAGAGGACAACAUUUCGAGCCUAGAUCACACCCAAGAUGGCAUCUUUUCUACCAUGUACAGUGUCGAUCACAUCCCAACCACGCCCAGAAAACUAGAAAACAUCUCAUCAGCUUCAUUCCUUCUAAAUCAUCCAGCCUUAAAGCGACAUCCCUUCAACGAUUUGGGCUUGGUGCAGAUUGAGAUACCUGGAAACAGAAGGAGACUCAACUCCUCCGCCUCUGAUGGAGACAUUGUUGCCUCCCCUGUCUCUUCACCUGGCCCUGCGGACGAGGGCACUGGGGGCGCUCUAACAGAAAUGGAUAACGGUGUGGUAGUCUACACGUGGGGGAAUGUUAAAGUCACCGAUGUCUUGCCUGUCAAAGAUGAGACAUAGAGGCUUGCUUGCUCAAAUAUCCCCUAUUUUGCAGCUUCUUAUGAUUUUGAAAAUGAAAUGGAUGAUGAAAUGCAUGGUCAUGCAGGCCCUCUGGAGAUGAUGGAUGAAACUAGUUCACAAGCAGUUGAGGUCACCCACUAAAUAGAGGUCAACAAACUUAUGAAGACAGUUCAACAAACUUAUGUCAACAGUUCAACAAACUAAGCCCACCUGAAUCAUUGCCCAAACGAUAAGAUUGCCAUUCUUAUUCCAAUGUAUGUCUGCUGCAUAAAAUGCAUUUUUUCCUUCUUUUGUAUGACAAUAAGUUAAUGAACACACACAUUGUUGACAAUUAUUUCUAUUAUGUUUCAUUAUACAUGUAUUUAACAAUGUCAUGUUAAUAACUAUUUUGUAUUGUUUUCAAUAUGAUGAUGCUACUCUAUCACUCAUGUGUUUUGGAUAAAACGUUAAACUCGCUGUUAAAAUGUUUAAAAGAAUUAAGCAAUAGAAAAAAAGAGGUUAAGCAAGUUAGCAAAUAACAACUAUACAACACCAUUGGGUGAUUUCAAGUUCCGUGUUGAUGCUGGUGUUAGAAGUGCAAUUGCAGUUUUAUGUUGGUGUUAUAGAAUUGCAAUUAGCACACAAUUAGCAAUUUUACAUCUGCCUGAUUAAAGGACAAGUCCACCCCAACAAAAAGUUGAUUUGAAUAAAAAGGGAAAAAUCCAACAAGCAUGACAUUGAAAAUUUCAUUGAAAUCGGAUGUAAAAUAAGAAAGUUAUGACAUUUUAAAGUUCCGGUUAUUUUUCACAAAAUAGUUAUAUGUACAAUUUAGUCACAUGCAAAUGAGAGAAUCGAUGAUGCCCCUCACUCACUAUUUCUUUCAUAAGGUUGCCUCCCCUACUUCCAAACACCUACUGUGAGUUAACAUGUCAGUGUUAGUGAUAGUGACAAUUAACUUUGAGUUCCCAAGCUCCAACACCUAAUGUUGGUUAACAUUUCAGUGUUAGUGAUGGUGUUAGUGUUGGGAGCACAAUUACGAUUCAGUUUGCCUUCCCUACCUCCAAACACCGAAAGUGAAUAAACAUUUCAGUGUAAGUGCUUGGGUUGGUGUUGGAAGCACAAUUAAAAUUGCCUCCCCUACCUCCAAACACCGAAAGUGAAUUAACAUUUCAGUGUUAAUGCUUGGGUUGGUGUUGGAAGCACAAUUAAGAUUGCCUUCCCUACCUCUAAACACCGAAAGUGAAAUGAACAUUUCAGUGUUAGUGCUUGGGUUGGUGUUGGAACCACAAUGAAGAUUGCAUUACCUAGCUCCAAACACCUAAUCUGAGUUAAUGUUUCAGUGUUAGUGUUGGAAGCACAAUUAAGAUUGCCUUCCCUUACAAAAAAUGGUCCACAUCACGCUAUUGAUCGCUAGACCUCUUUUGAGAUUCUUCCCAGGACAAACUUCAUUUUUAAAAUUUGGUGUUGAACUGGUGUUUAAGUCACCAACAAACAGGUUGACACACCAAACUUGAAAUCACCCAAUGUAAAAUUGGUGUGAUGUCAUGAGAGAUCAUUUCUUUUAUACUGUGCUAUAUAAGAAACUACACCGUCUUAAAGCAAAGCUCUAGCGAAUCUUUCACCUACUUGAGUAAAAGCCUACCGAAAAAUCAAGGAAGGUUACCCUUAUUAUGUAAAAGAAAAUUUUCUCACAUUAUUGCAUUUUUUUAAAUGAAAUAAUAUGCAAGUAUAAGAAGAGGUUCUUGUAAAUGUUUUUGAUAACAUAGCAUAGAGAAGCUCGCUCUUUUGUUUUACGUUUUAUUUCAUUCAUGUUUUGCAUUAGAAUCACACAUCUGUGAUGUUUGUGUGUGGAUGGUGCAAUUAAGUUAUUGCAAUAUGCUAGUGGUGAUGAUACCACUGCUGCUGCAAUAAUUGCCUGUGUUUUAAUUUCUCUAAAUGCAUAGGAUUAGGAUUAAGGUUGUGAAAGUGAUUUAUAGGCCCAUUCCUGUAGCACUGCUACUAUUAUAUAUAAAUAUAUGGUUAAAUUUAGGUUUGACUUGAUCUCGAGUUGCUUAUUUUGGUGCAAUAUUUGUUACAGCAAAUAUUAUGAAAGUACCAUUUACAUUUGUUGAAAAAUGCUGUGCUAUUAACGGAGAUGAUAAGUCAUUUUCCUUUGUAAAUUCUUUUACUAUUUUUUUUUUCUAUUUUUUUUGUCUUGCUCUUUAUGGUAAUUUCUAUAUUGUAAAGUUUGUUUUACUUUCAGAGUUUCUUUCUUUUUCUCCGUUUUUGUAAAGUCGAUAAUUGAAAAAUUGCCCAAAGUAGCGGAGAGUCAAUUUAUUUGGUUUGAACAAGGGAAUCUUAAAAGCAAUAAAGUAAAACUGAAGCAUUUCAUCUAAAAGUGUGUAAAGCAUGAAGGAAAACAAAUAACAUUGUUUUUAUUAUAAUAAGUUUAUACUGCAGUAGAAAUAGAAACAACUUUCUCUGUAAAUGU